AGCUGCAGCGCUUCUCUGUGCCUUCCGUCUGAAGGGAUAGACCUCCUUCUUCGACCGUAACGAUUACAUUCAGAAGCAUACCCAAGACCUUAAUAGGCGUGAUCCAUCAAUUGCUCUUCUCGCCCCUCAAUCACACCCUCGGCCAGCUGAUACAUGAAGAGUGCAUUUUGACAUGGGAAACAAACGCAGCUUGUACUUGUGUCUUGGAGGAGUUGAUGCUGCUGUCCCAGUGCAGCCCGACAUCUCUUUCCUGCCUCUCACCCCGGUCAGCAUGAUCGUCUCCGACUCCUCGCUGGCCUUCAAUAAGGACAGUAUGUGUUGUGCCGCAGCUGCAAAAGACUUCACAAACGCUGGCUGACGAGAAGUGACAGCCCUGUAUAUCUCUCACCGGCAUUGACAGCUGACAGAU